UACGUAGGGUGCAAGCGUUAAUCGGAAUUACUGGGCGUAAAGGGCCAGUAGGCGGCCAACUAAGUCACACGUGAAAUCCCCAGGCUUAACCUGGGAACUGCGUGUGAUACUGGAUGGCUUGAAUUCGGGAGAGGGAUGCAGAAUUCCAGGUGUAGCGGUGAAAUGCGUAGAUAUCUGGAGGAAUACCGGUGGCGAAGGCGGCAUCCUGGACCGACAUUGACGCUGAACGGCGAAAGCUAGGGGAGCAAACGGG
rnacentral:rRNA from 1 species